AUUGAACGCUGGCGGCAGGCCUAACACAUGCAAGUCGAGCGGAUGAAGGGAGCUUGCUCCUGGAUUCAGCGGCGGACGGGUGAGUAAUGCCUAGGAAUCUGCCUGGUAGUGGGGGAUAACGUCCGGAAACGGGCGCUAAUACCGCAUACGUCCUGAGGGAGGAAGUGGGGGAUCUUCGGACCUCACGCUAUCAGAUGAGCCUAGGUCGGAUUAGCUAGUUGGUGGGGUAAAGGCCUACCAAGGCGACGAUCCGUAACUGGUCUGAGAGGAUGAUCAGUCACACUGGAACUGAGACACGGUCCAGAUUCCUACGGGAGGCAGCAGUGGGGAAUAUUGGACAAUGGGCGAAAGCCUGAUCCAGCCAUGCCGCGUGUGUGAAGAAGGUCUUCGGAUUGUAAAGCACUUUAAGUUGGGAGGAAGGGCAGUAAGUUAAUACCUUGCUGUUUUGACGUUACCAACAGAAUAAGCACCGGCUAACUUCGUG
rnacentral:rRNA from 1 species